CCUACGGGUGGCAGCAGUAGGGAAUUUUCGGCAAUGGGGGGAACCCUGACCGAGCAACGCCGCGUGAACGAAGAAGUAAUUCGUAAUGUAAAGUUCUUUUAACAGGGAAGAAAGAGAAAUUUGACGGUACCUGAAGAAUAAGCUACGGCGAACCACGUGCCAGCAGCCGCGGUAAUACGUAGGGAGGGAGCGUUAUCAGGGAUUAUUGGGGGUAAAGGGUGCGUAAAGGGAGUAGUCAGUGUUUUGUAAAAAUGCUGGGCCAAACCCGGUAGGGAAAAAGAUACUGCAAAGCUAGAGGAUGAGAGAGGCAAGUGGAACUACUUGUGUAGCGGUAAAAUGCGUAGAUAUAUGUAAGAACACCAGUGGCGAAGGCGGCUUGCUGGGUCGAUACUGACAUGGAGGCACGAAAGCGUGGGGAGCAAACAGGAUUAGAUACCCGUGUAGUC
rnacentral:rRNA from 1 species